UACCAGGACCCCGAGUGGUCGGGACGAUUAUUGGGCCUAAAGCAUCCGUAGCCGGUUCUACAAGUCUUCCGUUAAAUCCACCUGCUUAACAGAUGGGCUGCGGAGGAUACUAUGGAGCUAGGAGGCGGGAGAGGCAAGCGGUACUUAGUGGGUAGGGGUAAAAUCCGUUGAUCCAUUGAAGACCACCAGUGGCGAAGGCGGCUUGCCAGAACGCACUCGACGGUGAGGGAUGAAAGCUGGGGGAGCAAACCGG
rnacentral:rRNA from 1 species